rnacentral:ncRNA from 1 species
UUGAUCCUUCGGGGCAGGGUGAAAUUCCCGACCGGCGGUGAUGGCACGAACUGUGCCUCAGUCCGUGACCCGCGCGAGCGGUGGACCCGGUGCAACUCCGGGACCGACAGUAUAGUCUGGAUGGGAGAAGGAUGAU